UACAGAGGUCUCAAGCGUUGUUCGGAUUCAUUGGGCGUAAAGGGUGCGUAGGCGGCGCGGUAAGUCGGGUGUGAAAUCUCGGAGCUUAACUCCGAAACUGCAUUCGAUACUGCCGUGCUCGAGGACUGGAGAGGAGACUGGAAUUUACGGUGUAGCGGUGAAAUGCGUAGAUAUCGUAAGGAAGACCAGUGGCGAAGGCGGGUCUCUGGGCAGUAACUGACGCUGAGGAGCGAAAGCGUGGGGGAGCGAACAGG
rnacentral:rRNA from 1 species